rnacentral:rRNA from 1 species
GAUGAACGCUGGCGGCGUGCCUAAUACAUGCAAGUCGAGCGAACAGACGAGGAGCUUGCUCCUCUGACGUUAGCGGCGGACGGGUGAGUAACACGUGGAUAACCUACCUAUAAGACUGGGAUAACUUCGGGAAACCGGAGCUAAUACCGGAUAAUAUAUUGAACCGCAUGGUUCAAUAGUGAAAGACGGUUUUGCUGUCACUUAUAGAUGGAUCCGCGCCGCAUUAGCUAGUUGGUAAGGUAACGGCUUACCAAGGCAACGAUGCGUAGCCGACCUGAGAGGGUGCUGGGCCAAUCGGGAAGUGAGACACGCUACAGACCCCUGCGGGGGGGAGCAAUGGGGAAUUUUCCGAUAGGGGCAAAAGCCAGAGGGAAAAACGGCGGGGGAGUGAAGAGGUUUUGGGUAGUAAAAAUCGCUUGUAUGAGGAAAACACAAAUGUGAAAGUAAAUAUCACCAUUUGAGCGGAACUAAACCGAAAAGCCCGGGCAAAUACGGU